AAUAGAGCACAGACAAGUACACCAAGGAGCCAGGGAGGACUGGAACCCACCAUCCUAAAGCCAACUCUGGCCAGAGAAAGAGCCGAGGGUGAGAGUUAGGCCUCCAAGCCUAACGAGAGAGUGGCUGGGUUUCUGGAACACAACAUAUAGACUAUACUGUCCUGGAACUUGCAGAAAUUCAUCUGCCUCUGCCUCAUGAGUGCUACGAUUAAAGGUAUGACCU